rnacentral:tRNA from 1 species
GGGGCGUAGCUCAGUGGUAGAGCGGCCGGCUGUAGACCGGCAGGUCCCGGGUUCGAAUCCCGGCGCCCC